rnacentral:rRNA from 1 species
UACGUAGGGUGCGAGCGUUGUCCGGAAUUACUGGGCGUAAAGAGCUCGUAGGUGGUUUGUCGCGUUGUCCGUGAAAACUCACAGCUUAACUGUGGGCGUGCGGGCGAUACGGGCAGACUGGAGUACUGCAGGGGAGACUGGAAUUCCUGGUGUAGCGGUGAAAUGCGUAGAUAUCGAGAGGAACACCUGCGGCGAAGGCGGGUUGCUGGGCCGACACUGACGCUGAUGCGCGAAAGCCAGGGGAGCGAACGGG